UGAAUCUGACGACUCGCAAGUUGAUUUUCGACGGUCCGCUAACGUGGAAGCUGCGGUCCCACCGCACGGUCGACCUCCACGCACUGCUGUUUGAGGACAUGCUGGUGCUGCUGCAGAAACAGGACGACAAGUACGUCCUCAAGUGUCAGAACGCCAACGCCCAGUCGGCGCGGGACGAUCACAAGUUUACACACAGCCCCGUGCUCCGACUACAGAACUUACUGGCCCGGAACCUCGCUACUG